rnacentral:sRNA from 19 species
GCUGAGCCUAUCUCGACAGAGAGAAAAGUUGGGAACCUUGCCCACUUGGCUCGGCAAUUUAUUCAAGG